CCCAGAUGCCAGCAGUCUGUCUUCAGAGUCCAGAUUCCAGGGCCAUUGCCAAUGGUCAAAGCAUGUGAUCUGGCCAAGGGCGACAAGUGCUUGUUCUUUUUUGCUUAACAGAGACAAGGUGGCAAUAGUUUUCCAACAUGACAUCCAUGUAGAGAGUCUUCUGAGCAGGAUCCAGAUGCUGCCACUCCUCCUGGGAGAAGUCCACAGUCACAUCUUUGAAUGACACUAAUCCCUGUAAUGGAUGGGAACUGUGACAGAAACUGGUUGACCAGACAUUGGGGACUUGUUCUGAUCCAGUUCCUUUGUAGCAUUCUUAUGAAAUCUGUAAAGGAAGCCUAUCAUUUUCUUUCUUUAAUGAUUUACAUUGUGGAAGAAAUAAAAAUCAUGGUAGAAAGAAGUGCCAUUGAUUUUUUUAAAUAACUCAUUCUAAAAAUAUUUACAGUGAAGUCACC